UACGUAGGGGGCAAGCGUUGUUCGGAAUUACUGGGCGUAAGGGCGCGUCGGCGGUGUGUCAAGUCAGGCGUGAAAGCCCCGGGCUCAACCUGGGAACCGCGCUUGAGACUGGCACGCUAGAGUUCGGGAGAGGAUGGUGGAAUUCCCAGUGUAGAGGUGAAAUUCGUAGAUAUCGAGAGGAACACCUGCGGCGAAGGCGGGUUGCUGGGCUGACACUGACGCUGAUGCGCGAAAGCCAGGGGAGCGAACGGG
rnacentral:rRNA from 1 species